rnacentral:rRNA from 1 species
UACACUUGCUAAUAGAGUCUGCUUCUAAUCGUCUUGUAAUGAGAC